AUGCCAAUGUGCUGGGGAGCAGCGACAGAGCGAAUAGCAGGUCCCAUGGCCUAAGGAGGAGAGAUCCUGACUUGGUGUCUCCGAGGAGGAUCAAGACGAGCGGGAGUUGAGCAUGCCAGAACCGGCGCCCCUCGGCGCAGACAAGAAAGCGGUGGAGAAGAAGCGUGCGGAGAAGGUGGGAGCGAAAGGCAGCACCUCCGUGCCCCCAGUCCCCAAGAGCCUCCCUGUGAAGAGGACAGUGGAGCCCCAAAGCCUCGACCCCAUGGAGGAGCCGCUCAUCUGGGAAGGGCUCACCCUCAACAAAUGCAUCCUCGUGGCCUCCUUCGUCGCCCUGCUCAGCGUCAGCUUCCAGGUGCUCCAAGCACCUUGCUCUAGGGAAGGAAUUAGCAGUGACAGACAGGCCCCUCCACCUCCACCCCUUCACGAGGUCAUUGACACCAAGGAGGACAUCCCAGAAGUGGUGGCUGCCCCACCGGUCCAACCCGAGACCAGCCUGUUCGAGGACAGUGAUGGUGACGAUGACAGGGAAGAUGACAGUGAAGCUGACAGCAACCUGGCCGAGCCAUGGAUCUUCAAGAAAUGGUUUGGCCGCUUGGAGCAAGAGGACGAAGAGGAAGAACCCGAAGCCGAACCUGAGGAGCCACCAGCCAAGGUCGAGGUGAGGAAGAGCCGAGAGAAGCCCAGAGGCCCGGAGAGGAAAGAAGAGAAGCUCAGGGAAAGUCGUGCAGCCCAGGUGGAGAGGAGCAGCCGGAAGGAGACGCGACCCAAGGACAGAGCCCCUGAGGACAAGGCUGGCAGAACCCCAAGGGCACCCAAGGAGCCGGAGCAGCAGCCCUACAAGAAGCGGGGCCGGGAGGGCAAGGAGGGCAGGCGAGAAGGGAGGGAGCGCGAUGAGCACAAGAAAGAUGAGUGGAAGGGCCGCCCCGCCAAGGCUGACCGCGAGGACAACCGGAAGCGGGACUGGAGGCAGCAGCGAGGAGAGCAGAAGGGCAAGAAGCCCUGGGAGCAUCACACGUCUGCCCCGGGGAAGGACAGCACUGCCAGGCCCAGGGAAGGCAAGAAGCGUGACUGA
rnacentral:lncRNA from 1 species